UGGGGAAUUUUGGACAAUGGGCGAAAGCCUGAUCCAGCCAUGCCGCGUGCAGGAUGAAGGCCUUCGGGUUGUAAACUGCUUUUGUACGGAACGAAAAGACUCUGGUUAAUACCUGGGGUCCAUGACGGUACCGUAAGAAUAAGCACCGGCUAACUACGUGCCAGCAGCCGCGGUAAUACGUAGGGUGCAAGCGUUAAUCGGAAUUACUGGGCGUAAAGCGUGCGCAGGCGGUUAUAUAAGACAGAUGUGAAAUCCCCGGGCUCAACCUGGGAACUGCAUUUGUGACUGUAUAGCUAGAGUACGGCAGAGGGGGAUGGAAUUCCGCGUGUAGCAGUGAAAUGCGUAGAUAUGCGGAGGAACACCGAUGGCGAAGGCAAUCCCCUGGGCCUGUACUGACGCUCAUGCACGAAAGCGUGGGGAGCAAACAGGAUUAGAUACCCUGGUAGUCCACGCCCUAAACGAUGUCAACUGGUUGUUGGGUCUUCACUGACUCAGUAACGAAGCUAACGCGUGAAGUUGACCGCCUGGGGAGU
rnacentral:rRNA from 1 species